UACGUAGGUGGCAAGCGUUGUCCGGAAUCACUGGGCGUAAAGGGCGCGUAGGUGGCCCGUGGAAGUCUGCGGUGAAAGUCCGGCGCUCAACGCCGGAUCGGCCGUGGAUACUCUCGGGCUUGAGCUUACUAGAGGCAGAUGGAAUUCCGGGUGUAGCGGUGGAAUGCGUAGAGAUCCGGAAGAACACCGGUGGCGAAGGCGGUCUGCUGGGGUAAUGCUGGACACUGAUGCGCGGACAGCGUGGGGAGCAAACAGG
rnacentral:rRNA from 1 species